rnacentral:lncRNA from 1 species
GUGUUCUCUAACAUAAAGGGAUCUCCUUUCCAUAUUUCUUUCUUCUUUCUGUAUUUCUAUUUUCUUGUUCGUGGGUUUGGAUUUUGGACUGCGAAGUUGAAGAAGUGAGAAAAAGGGCACUUUGGGAUGUUACAAAAUGAUGGUUCAAAAAUUCCGAGUGUACAGAAUUUUAAGUGUACAGAAUGUGUACUGAUCUCGUAAAAUGAAUGGGCCACACAUGAAUAUCUUAUUGCCAAAAAAUCUGAUGCGAGUAUUCUGUAAGUAUACUUAAAUCUGUACUUGUAGAAUAACUCACGAUGGUUUUAGUAUGUGAUUUUGUAGAACAUAAUUAUUCUCUCAGCUUUUUGAUCUCGGAGUUACUGUUCUUGGUUUCGCCACCGACUUGAUUUUCUCUUGUUUUCAAGGUCUUUAUUGUUCUGCAUCUUCAUUGCUCGCCUAGAGCAAGGUGAGGUAUGUCUUGAUUCUACUUUUUCCCUCUUUAUUUUUGGCUCAAGUGAUUGAAUUUCAAGAAUGUAUUUUGUUGGUAUAGUGGGGUUUGGGAUUUUCUCGUGUUCAAUUAGGGUGAAUGCAAUUGUUCAGAAACAUGGUUUGUCAUUGUGCAGCCCAUUUAUGAAAAUUAUGUACAUAGAGUGUCUUGGAUGAAAAGUAACAGGUAAACCCAACCAGCAUUUUACAGGUUUGUUGAAAUCUAAAUUUAAUUAAAUAAUUGUGUUGACUUUGAGCAUGUUGUUUGUAUGGUAAUUUUUUGGUUGUUGAAUUGAAUCAAGGUCCUUGGACUUUAAUUGGUGCGAUCAAGUUAUUGAACUUUAAUUUAAGUGCAAAUAUAGUCACUCUUUUA